GACGAACCGUGCGAACGUUGUUCGGAAUCACUGGGCUUAAAGGGUGUGUAGGCGGACUGUAAAGUCAGGGGUGAAAUCCUCCAGCUUAACUGGAGAACAGCCUUUGAUACUGAUGGUCUUGAGGAAGGUAGGGGCAUGCGGAACUGAUGGUGGAGCGGUGAAAUGUGUUGAUAUCAUCAGGAACUCCGGUGGCGAAAGCGGCGUGCUGGACCUUUUCUGACGCUGAGACACGAAAGCUAGGGGAGCAAACGGG
rnacentral:rRNA from 1 species